AAGUUUCGGCUUUCAGCAGAGGCUUCCCCUUGCGGCAGAACGGGAAAGCCAAAGCUGAAAAGCCGUAUACUCUCUAAGAUAAGCGCAGCCGCUUUUGUGACCUCUCUCCACCGCUGACCGACUGCUGCCAAACGCCUCGGAAUAACUGAACGCCUGUGCUACCUGCUGAUCAAAUAUAUUUACUGCAUCUGGAGUAGAAAUCAGGUAAAAUUAUGGCGGAAUAUUUAUCAUUUGCUAAAAUUGGUAAUAUUUUUGCUUAUUACGUGAAUUCACUGUUUGAGGAGGAUGUUAAUGUGCCAAUUACUGGCCUAUAUGCCAUAAUGGCAGUUAGCUUGCUGGUACAAAUAGUAUUACUAGCCAGAGGACACAGGAAUAGGGAUAAGGAUAACCUCACCACCUGCUUGCAGGAAAUAACAGCUUUACGAUUAGGUCAGACCACAAUUGUGCAGCAAGUGGAACAGAAAUUGGAUGAUAAGCUUGGCUCUGUGUCCAAUACACUAAAGACAGAGCUGUCUGAUGAGAUACAGCGUAUUUAUGAUAAGAUAAACACAGAGAGAUCCUCCAUGUCUGAGGCCUUAGAGGCUAGGCUGUCAGAAGACCAUGACCAGCUAAAGAAUAUCUGUAGCCAGCUAGAAACUCAGAUAGGCAAUGUUACUCAUCAACUAGAUGCAACGGUGCAAAAUACCCAGCAUAGGGUUGAAGAAUUGGACAAUGCCAUUCAAUCAGUCAUUGAAGCAUCCAAGGUAGCAGAUCAGAAGUUUGAGUCUAGAUUUGAAUGUUUGGAAGAUAAUUUACAGUACAGGGCUGACAGAUUACAUAGGUCCAUACGGUCGAUUGCUGAGGACUCAAAAUCAGCAAAUCAUGACCUGGAAUCUAGACUCCAAUACCUAGAAGGCAGUUUCCAUGCCAUCCAGAUGCUGUCUAAGGAUGAUCGUAUGAAAGACCUAGAAAAACGUGUAGAUGAGCAGUUAGAACAAUUUACAGAUUCACUAACGUGCUUAGAAUCUUUUAUGAUUAAGGAGAUUGAAACUUUUCAAAAGGAUAUCAUUACUAGACUCAAGGAUCAUUGGGAGGAUUCGGAGACAGAAUCACUCCAAUCUGAGGCAUCUACUCCACCCAGGUAUCUUGAUCAUUCUAAAGUCGUUAUGGGUACACCAUCGGUCUACCCACCAACAAUGGUAGAAAAGCCACCAACUAAAAAACACCCCCAGGGACAGGUGGCUUAUGUAUGGCAACCUAUACAGCUGAAGGAUCUUAAGCAUAUUAAAGAAUCAGUUGUCUCAUAUGGUCUUCAUAGUCCAUACGUAAAACAGCUAUUACACUCAUGGGCAACCUUUAACAGGGUGACACCCACAGAUUGGGUAACACUGGUUUCAGCUGUACUUGAGAAUUCUUGUCAAAUCCAGUGGAAGUCAUUAAUAAGGGAGGAAGGGAAGCUUCUUGAACGUCAGGCCAUUAAGGACCGUUAUGACACUCCUCUGGAGAAGAUUCUGGGUGAGGGUAUUUAUGCUGACCCACAGGUUCAGGCUGAAUAUGAUGACGAUAUACUGUCUCUUUGCAGGAAAGCAGCAUUAAAUGCCUGGGAUAAGGUUCAUG
rnacentral:lncRNA from 1 species